AACCAUGGCACCCAAAAAUGUCACACUCCAAAAAUGUGACAUCCCAAAAUCACAGCACCCCCAAAAUGUCACAGCCCAAAAAUGUCACAUCCCAAAACUGCCCCCAACUCCCCCCAAAACCACAGCACCCCAAAAAUGUCACAUCCCAAAACUGCUGCACCCCAAAAUCACAGCACCCCAAAAUCACAGCACCCCAAAAUGUCACAGCCCCAAAAAUGUCACGCCCCAAAAAUGUCACAGCCCAAAAUCUGCUGCACCCCAAAAUCACAGCACCCCAAAAUGUCACAGCCCAAAAUCUGCUGCACCCCAAAAUCACAGCACCCCCAAAAAUGUCACAUCCCAAAAAUGUCACAUCUCAAAAACUGCUGCACCCCAAAAUCACAGCACUCCAAAAUCACUGCACCCCAAAAUCACAGCACCCCAAAAUAACAGCACCCCCAAAACCACAGCACCCCCAAAAUGUCACAUCCCAAAAAUUUCACACCCCCAAAAAUGUCACACUCCCAAAAAUGUCAAACCCCCAAAAAUGUCACACAUCCCAAAAACUGCUACACCCCAAAAUCACAGCACCCCCAAAAUCACAGCACCCCAAAACCAUUGCACCCCAAAAUGUCACAGCCCAACAGUGUCACACCCCAAAACUGCCCCCAACUCCCCCAAAACUUCAGCACCCCAAAAACCAUUGCACUCCAAAAUGUCACACCCCCAAAAAUGUCAAACCCCCAAAAAUGUCACACAUCCCAAAAACUGCUGCACCCCAAAAUCACAGCACCCCAAAAUCACAGCACCCCAAAACCAUUGCACUCCAAAAUGUCACAUCCCCAAAAAUGUCACAUCUCAAAAUCACAGCACCCCAAAAUCACAGCACCCCCAAAAUGUCACACCCCAAAAAUGUCACACCCCAAAACUGCUGCACCCCAAAACCACAGCACCCCCAAAAUCACAGCACCCCAAAAAUGUCACAUCCCAAAACUGCUGCACCCCAAAAUCACAGCACCCCAAAAUCACAGCACCCCCAAAAUGUCACAGCCCCAAAAAUGUCACAUCCCAAAAUUACAGCACCCCAAAACCACAGCACCCCAAAAUGUCACAUCCCAAAAAUGUCACACCUCCAAAAAUGUGACAUCCCAAAAUCACAGCACCCCCAAAAUGUCACAGCCCAACAUUGUCACACCCCAAA
rnacentral:lncRNA from 1 species